rfam:Camelus ferus unplaced genomic scaffold scaffold113366, whole genome shotgun sequence.
AAGGGUAUAGCUCAGUGGUAGAGCACGUGCUUAGCACGCAGGAGGUCCUGGGUUCAAACCUCAGUACCUCCA